GACAGAGGGUGCAAACGUUGCUCGGAAUUACUGGGCGUAAAGGGCGCGUAGGCGGCCUGUUAAGUCGAACGUGAAAUCCCCCGGGCUCAACCCGGGAACUGCGUCCGAUACUGGCAGGCUUGAAUCCGGGAGAGGGAUGUGGAAUUCCAGGUGUAGCGGUGAAAUGCGUAGAUAUCUGGAGGAACACCGGUGGCGAAGGCGACAUCCUGGACCGGUAGUUGACGCUGAGG
rnacentral:rRNA from 1 species